rnacentral:rRNA from 1 species
GAUUUUGUGAGUUGUAAUGACCUUGGUAAUCGUGUUGUGAAGAUGGUUGAGACUAGUAGACACAUCAUUUUUCCUUUGGUAUAUCGCCUCAUUGAGUUGCCAUUGAUUUUUCCUAUUGCAACCGCAUCAAUGGAAAGAGCUUUCUCAGCUAUGAGUAUUAUUAAGACUGAGUUGAGGAAUAGGACAAGUGAUAAUUGGCUGAAUUAUAGAAUGGUUUGCUACAUUGAGAGACAUGUAUAUAUUUGCAAGUAUUGA